rnacentral:lncRNA from 1 species
ACCUCUCUUCCUUUUAUUAUUAGACCAGUAGGAGGAAUUAGAUUAAGUUUUUAGUUUAAAAAGAAAAUAUGCUCCUAAUAGUUAAAAUAAAAUCUAAAAUAAAGCGCAGCCCUUGUCGAAUCACUCUUAAAUUGCGCACUUCAGUAGUCUCGCUGCUUCAACUUUAUCAGACAGAUAUUUGGUACUCCCUCCGUCCGAGAAGGCGGUUCGUUUAACCUCCAAAAUUUAUCCCACAAAAAAUGUUUAUAUAGUUUUAUCCAACCCUCAUAACAUAUGAAUCGAUCAUUUACUCCCACCAUCAGCCAGACUCGCUAAAUAAGAAGACUAACAUGUCCGACAAUUACUGCAAGCGUGCAUGCCAAAUUAAUUCUACUCGGUAAUCCAUCUGGCAGCUCGGAUGCCAAAACAGAUUAAGAAGAAUUAUUAGGGGUACUUUGAACUUUUAACAUUGCUAAUAUCCUAUCUAAAAUUUUCUAAACGAAGUCUUUAUAGUACGGAGGGAGUAGUCAACAAGUGAAAACUCAUGACAGUGGCAACUGAUACUGGCGUAGCUAUGGUUUCGAGUUAGGAUGGUCCAGCUUAACAUUGUUUAAAAGAUAUACAUUAUCAUCUCCACACCUUUUCGCGGUUUUGAAGGAUGAACGACUCAUGCUUAUGCAAAAUGACGAGGGAGCGAUGCUUCUUUUUAUGAAUUGGAACAUCAAAAUUUUUAUGGAUUGGAACAUCAGAAUAGGUGGUAAUGGGCUUGGUAUAGAUUUUUAGGGUGGUCCCUGACCCACACGGACCACCCUCUAGCUCCCAUAGUAAUGGUGCCUAUCUUAAAACAAGAGAGAGAGGUUAAUGUAAUGCAAUGAUACUCAAUACUCAAUAGUAGCAACACGGACCACCCUCUAGCUUCUAUAGUAUUAAUGGUGCCCAUCUUGGAACAAGAAAGAGGUUAAUGCAAUGCAAUGAUACUCAAUACUCAAUUAAUGCAAUGCAAUGAUAUUCAAUACUCAAUAGUAGCAAACUAUGGCAUGGUGUUGUAGUAAUGUUAGGGCUAGUUUGGCUGGGCUCCAGUAGCCCCAAGGAGCCGGAGGAGCCACAAAUUGUGAGGGGGAGGAGAAGGAGAGAGAAAAGAAGCUCCAUGCUACAGUAAAUGAACAGUAGCCCGUCAGAAGGAGCCGGAGCCAGGAGGAGCUCCACCAAACUGGCUCUUAGUUUCGUGGUCUGGUUUUACAUGUACUGAUGUACGGAAUACAUACUUCCCGAGAUAGUCUAUGUUCUUGAGUCAAAAUACAUACUUCCCUAAGACCUAUAUUC